rnacentral:rRNA from 1 species
GACGAACGCUGGCGGCGUGCUUAACACAUGCAAGUCGAACGAUGAAGCACCAGCUUGCUGGUGUGGAUUAGUGGCGAACGGGUGAGUAACACGUGAGUAACCUGCCCCUCACUCUGGGAUAAGCCUGGGAAACUGGGUCUAAUACUGGAUACGACCGAUCUCCGCAUGGAGUGUUGGUGGAAAGUUUUUGUGGUGGGGGAUGGGCUCGCGGCCUAUCAGCUUGUUGGUGGGGUAGUGGCCUACCAAGGCGACGACGGGUAGCCGGCCUGAGAGGGCGACCGGCCACACUGGGACUGAGACACGGCCCAGACUCCUACGGGAGGCAGCAGUGGGGAAUAUUGCACAAUGGGCGAAAGCCUGAUGCAGCGACGCCGCGUGAGGGAUGACGGCCUUCGGGUUGUAAACCUCUUUCACCAGGGACGAAGCUAACGUGACGGUACCUGGAGAAGAAGCACCGGCUAACUACGUG